GCUGUAGCUCAGUUGGUAGAGUGCUUGCCUCAUAUGUACAAGGCCCUGGGUUCAAUCCCCACCACA
rnacentral:tRNA from 1 species